rnacentral:rRNA from 1 species
UACGAAGGGGGCUAGCGUUGUUCGGAAUUACUGGGCGUAAAGCGCGCGCAGGCGGCCUUUCAAGUCGGUGGUGAAAUCCCAAAGCUCAACUUUGGAAUUGCCAUCGAAACUGUAAGGCUUGGGUACGGGAGAGGUGAGUGGAAUUCCGAGUGUAGAGGUGAAAUUCGUAGAUAUUCGGAAGAACACCAGUGGCGAAGGCGGCUCACUGGCCCGUUACCGACGCUCAGGCGCGACAGCGUGGGGAGCAAACAGGAUGAGAAACCCCAGUAGUCC